UUGUUCUAAUUUAAAGCUUUUUAAUCAUUUAAACUUCCUUUUUGGUGAACAUUUCCUCUGAAAUGUGUGACUUGUGUGAGGAAUUUAGUUCAGUAACUUACGCAACUUGAUAUUAGUUUAAGGUCGACACGAGAGCGACGUGGCAAAAGCAAACAUCCAGCUCAUUUUUUUUUAUAAAUACCGCUAAUGUUCGGUGACGGAACUUAGAUUUAAGAGUCUUUUAGACGAGAAUGUUGUUGUUAAGAACUCAAAUACGUGAUUUAUAUAUAAACAUAACGCCUCUUUGAGAUUUUGUUAAGACGCUGUCGGAGGUGUGAGCUUCAGGCUGUCAGCGGUCGUGUCUCCGUGGAGAGCAGCUCUAUCUCGGCCAUUGCUUCGGGAAUAGCCGCUGGCUCUUAUAACGUUAGUGGUUAACAAUGCGAUAUAGUUAAUUUUGGGUAUAUGAGACGAACAAUUGUUGCUCUUUUUAGACUUAAACUUAUUCCCGAGUGUGUCGAAUUAGUGAAGGGUUGUUUUAACGUUUAUAAUAUUAUUUUUUAAGACUGUAUUUCGCUUUCUGUACUAGAUCCCACUCUUCUUUUUCCCCCCACUGACAGGUUGCAGAAUAACAGCUAAUAUUAAUGGAUCAUUCUAUUCAAGAGAAUGUCAACUGGAACGUGGAUGUUUUCAUAACAGGCUUAAAGAUGAACAAAUUGAUAAAGAAACCCUCCUGCUGGACAUCCACUUCCAAAAGUGCACACCACACUGUUGUCUACAACUCCUAGGAAAAGAAUCCUCUUAAGUAAGACUGCUCCAUGGAUAUGUCAGGUUAAGCAGUGCUGAAACCGAAAGAACUAACACUAUUUAAAAUGUUUUGUGAGUUUAUAUGAAGAGGAAAGUUACGGUGUCCCUUUUUCACAUCCAUAACGCUUGUUUAUUUCUUUUUUUAUAGAAAACUUGUGCAUAGACUUAUAUUUUAACAUAUAAAUGCGGUUCUAUUAACAAGGGUUUAGUAAAAUACUUUUUAUAGCGUUUUGAAGUGUUAAGUUGUCUAACUAUUUAUAUUUACUUGUGCCACUUUAAUAACCUUGUUAAAUGUAUAUGUUAAAAUCUAAACUAAUGUAAUUUAUUGAAAUUAAUGUUCUUUAAAUAUGUAUAAACAUACAUUUCAUCAAAGUGUUUUAUAUGCCAUUUUAUUGUUCAUUGAGCAUAACAUAUUGCAUGUUUUUAUGAAUUCCUUUUGUCUUGCAUUUUGAUCCUUAAUAAAACUAUUGAUUCUUA